rnacentral:ncRNA from 1 species
ACUCACAAAGGAAAUGGUGUCUUCCUAUUUGAACCGUCCGAUACACUUCGCGACUGAUGGCGCCUGCAAAUAG